rnacentral:rRNA from 1 species
UACGUAGGGGGCAAGCGUUGUCCGGAUUUAUUGGGCGUAAAGAGCUCGUAGGCGGUUCGGCAAGUCAGAUGUAAAAACUCCAGGCUCAACUUGGAGAGGCCAUCUGAUACUGCCGUGACUAGAGUCCGGUAGAGGAGCACGGAAUUCCUGGUGUAGCAGUGAAAUGCGUAGAGAUGUGGAGGAACACCGAUGGCGAAGGCAGCCUCCUGGGCCGACACUGACGCUGAGGGCACGAAAGCGUGGGGAGCAAACAGG